UACGUAGGGUGCGAGCGUUAAUCGGAAUUACUGGGCGUAAAGCGUGCGCAGGCGGCGCGUUAAGACAGGUGUGAAAGCCCCGAGCUUAACUUGGGAAUUGCGCUUGUGACUGGCGUGCUGGAGUGUGGCAGAGGGGGGUGGAAUUCCGCGUGUAGCAGUGAAAUGCGUAGAGAUGCGGAGGAACACCGAUGGCGAAGGCAGCCCCCUGGGCCAACACUGACGCUCAGGCACGAAAGCGUGGGGAGCAAACAGG
rnacentral:rRNA from 1 species